rnacentral:sRNA from 1 species
GAGACGGGGAAGGUCGGAGGGAGGGUGGUUUCCUCCUGCCCCACACCCAGUCUCCGAGCCGGAUAUAUAGAGUGUCACGUUUGGGAGCCGAAAGACCGGAGCCGUUUCCUUGUGGCUGGAGAGCUUCCCGUAGCCUCGGGGAAGGAGCAGGAUUUAGAGGACCACUAGUUGAACCCCAUCCUCGUGCUGGAGGAACAGUGUCCUUGCAUAAGGAGUGCCUCUGCCCGGCUGCUGCCCCAUCUGGGAAGUGAGGAGCACCUCUGCCUGGCUGCCACCCCAUCUGGGAUGUGAGGAGCACCUCUGCCCAGCUGCCCCACCAUCUGGGAAGUGUGGAGCACCUCUGCCCAGCUGCCCACUGUCUGGGAUGUGAGGAGCACCUCUGCCUGGCUGCCCACUCUCUGGGAUGUGAGGAGCGCCUCUGCCUAGCUGCCACCCCAUCUGGCCAGUGAGGAGUGCCUUUGCCGGGCCACCAACCGCCUGGGAAGUGAGGAGCACCUCUGCCCAGCCGCCAACCAUCUGGGAAGUGAUGAGGGCCUCUGCCCAGCUGCUGCCCCAUCUGGGAUGUGAGGAGUGCCUCGGACUGACUGCCUACUGUCCAGGAAGUGAGGAGUGCUUCUGCCUAGCUGCCCACUGUCUGGUAACUGAGAAGCGCCUCUGCCCGGCCUCUACCCUGUCUAAUAAGUGAAGAGUGUUUCUGCCUGGCCGCCACCCCAUCUGGGAAGUGAGGAGUGUCUCUGCCCUUCCGCCCAACUGACUGGGAAGUGACGAGUGCCUCUGCCUGGCCACCAACCAUCUGGGAAGUAAGGAGAACCUCUGCCUGGCCGCCGCCCAGUCUGGGAAGUGAGGAGCGCCUCUGUCCAGCCACCAACUGUCUGGGAAGUGAGAAGUGCUUCUGCCUGGCCACAAACC